AGAGUUUGAUCCUGGCUCAGAGCGAACGUUAGCGGCGCGCCUAACACAUGCAAGUCGCACGAGAAGGGGCAACCCUGACAGUGGCGCACGGGUGCGUAACACGUAGAUAAUCUGCCUUCGAAGGGGAUAACGUUCCGAAAGGAGCGCUAAUACCGCAUAAGGCUGCGUCUGGUUCGCCAGAUGCAGACAAAGGCUGGGAC
rnacentral:rRNA from 1 species